rnacentral:rRNA from 1 species
UCCGUAGGGGGCAAGCGUUGUCCGGAUUUAUUGGGCGUAAAGAGCGUGUAGGCGGUUUGGUAGGUCCGUUGUGAAAACUCGAGGCUCAACCUCGAGACGCCGAUGGAAACCAUCAGACUAGAGUCCGGAAGAGGAGAGUGGAAUUCCUGGUGUAGCGGUGAAAUGCGCAGAUAUCAGGAAGAACACCCGUGGCUAAGGCGGCUCUCUAGUACGGUACUGACGCUGAGACGCGAAAGCCAGGGGAGCGAACGGG